UACGGGGGGAGCAAGCGUUGUUCGGAUUUACUGGGCGUAAAGCGCACGUAGGCGGAUACUUAAGUCAGGGGUGAAAUCCUGGAGCUCAACUCCAGAACUGCCUUUGAUACUGGGUAUCUCGAGUCCGGAAGAGGUGAGUGGAACUCCUAGUGUAGAGGUGGAAUUCGUAGAUAUUAGGAAGAACACCAGUGGCGAAGGCGGCUCACUGGUCCGGUACUGACGCUGAGGUGCGAAAGCGUGGGGAGCAAACAGG
rnacentral:rRNA from 1 species